GACGAACGCUGGCGGCGUGCCUAAUACAUGCAAGUCGAACGCAUUUUCUUUCACCGUAGCUUGCUACACCGAAAGAAAAUGAGUGGCGAACGGGUGAGUAACACGUGGGUAACCUGCCCAUCAGCGGGGGAUAACACUUGGAAACAGGUGCUAAUACCGCAUAAUUCCAUUUACCGCAUGGUAGAUGGAUGAAAGGCGCUUUUGCGUCACUGAUGGAUGGACCCGCGGUGCAUUAGCUAGUUGGUGGGGUAACGGCCUACCAAGGCUGCGAUGCAUAGCCGACCUGAGAGGGUGAUCGGCCACACUGGGACUGAGACACGGCCCAGACUCCUACGGGAGGCAGCAGUAGGGAAUCUUCGGCAAUGGACGCAAGUCUGACCGAGCAACGCCGCGUGAGUGAAGAAGGUUUUCGGAUCGUAAAACUCUGUUGUUAGAGAAGAACAAGGAUGAGAGUGGAAAGUUCAUCCCUUGACGGUAUCUAACUAGAAAGCCACGGCUAACUACGUG
rnacentral:rRNA from 1 species